rnacentral:rRNA from 1 species
AUUGAACGCUGGCGGCAGGCCUAACACAUGCAAGUCGAACGGUAACAGGAAGCAGCUUGCCGCUUCGCUGACGAGUGGCGGACGGGUGAGUAAUGUCUGGGAAGCUACCUGAUGGAGGGGGAUAACUACUGGAAACGGUAGCUAAUACCGCAUAAUGUCGCAAGACCAAAGAGGGGGACCUUCGGGCCUCUUGCCAUCGGAUGUGCCCAGAUGGGAUUAGCUUGUUGGUGGGGUAACGGCUCACCAAGGCGACGAUCCCUAGCUGGUCUGAGAGGAUGACCAGCCACACUGGAACUGAGACACGGUCCAGACUCCUACGGGAGGCAGCAGUGGGGAAUAUUGCACAAUGGGCGCAAGCCUGAUGCAGCCAUGUCGCGUGUAUGAAGAAGGCCUUCGGGUUGUAAAGUACUUUCAGCGGGGAGGAAGGGAGUAAAGUUAAUACCUUUGCUCAUUGACGUUACCCGCAGAAGAAGCACCGGCUAACUCCGUG